CUCCAGGCUUAUGUCGCUGUACAUAUCCUCAGUUGUAUCACAGUUGGAGCUACGGCCAGAGGAGUUGAAACUCGAUGAUCUGUAGAGUUGGCUGAAAACAAGUAGCAGGAUAUAUGAAAAGAAUUGAAUUUACGAAUUAAAAUUUUGCAGUCUUUGCUACUGUGAAUAGCUUCGAGCGGUUUGUGUCUGUACUAAGCCAGUAUUUCUGUUAUCUGCGCCCAACUGAAGCUUUUCAAGCACUACGCGUAGUGCAGACACAAACCGCAGCACAAUGAAAUCAAAACUGUAAAAUGCAAUGCGUACCAAACUGUAUUUAGCCAAGACACUGACAAAUGCAUCUCGCGCUCUGGCUGCCAAACUGUGACUGUAAUACCGUGACUGUCAAACCAAUUCAAAUUGAAUCAAAAUGCAAUCAAGUUCAUAUAAAACAAAUACCGUUAAUUAUUCAGAUAUUCAGCAAAGCAAAACUUACCUAGCUAAGGCAUUGGAACUUAUCUGCCUGCGGCCGGAACUGCAAACAAAUUGAGAAUAAAUAUUGAAAUGUAGUUAUAUAUUAAUAUACUGUAUUUAGCAUUAAAAAUUAUUAUACCAUGUACCGUA